CGUUCUAUGGCCGAAUUGGUAAAGGCAUCGCCGAUCACAGGCGAGGGUGCGGGUUCGAGUACCGCUGGAACGA
rnacentral:tRNA from 1 species